rnacentral:lncRNA from 1 species
UAAAAUAAUCUUCUAAAAUUUUAUAAUUUACAAGAUAAUCCUAUCAAAUUUAUAUUUGGCAAAUUAACACUUGAAAUGCAAUGAAUCGUUCAUAGCAUUCUGAAAGACCCCAAGGUCUUUUAAAGUCGGUGAAUCGUUCACCGCAUUCAUUAAGAUGGUUAACGAUUCACCGCCUUCUUCACAAUUUUUUAUUACACGUUGGGAAUUAUAUAUGGAAAAGAGAAAAAAAGUAAGGUUGUUAAAAUUGUACGUAGAUUAUACGGAAAAUAAAUUAUGGAUAGAUUAUUAUAAUUUUUUCAUCUCUUUUUU